UACGUAGGUGGCUAGCGUUGUUCGGAAUUACUGGGCAUAAAGGGUCCGUAGGCGGCCUGCUCAGUCCGAUGUGAAAGCCCCCGGCUCAACCGGGGAAUUGCGUCGGAUACUGGCAGGCUUGAGGGUCGGAGGGGAGAGCGGAAUUCCUGGUGGAGCGGUGAAAUGCGUAGAUAUCAGGAGGAACGCCAAUGGCGAAGGCAGCUCUCUGGACGACUUCUGACGCUGAGGGACGAAAGCCAGGGGAGCGAACGGG
rnacentral:misc_RNA from 1 species